rnacentral:lncRNA from 1 species
CCAGGCUUCCAGCUGCCUGCUCCAUGAAUAGCUGAGGAAGCCCAGAACUAGACCUCUGCCAGGACUCAGACCUCAGGUAAGGGAAGAGGCAAGUCUUCUAGACUCUAAGACACCCACAUGGCAAUCCAGAAUGGCUGCACCACACAGGGCUAUUGGACUGAUUAUUUUGGCUGAAUUAUCUGUUGGACUCCUUUUAUAAUGACAG